rnacentral:tRNA from 1 species
GAUCCCGUAGCUCAGUUGGCAGAGCAUCUGACUUUUAAUCAGAGGGUCCCAGGUUCGAGCCCUGGCGGGAUCA